CAAGUCGGCCAGACAGUCGCCGCUCUGUUCGCAGAGGGGAGGAAAGUCCGGGCUUCGCAGGGUAAGGUGCCAGGUAACGCCUGGGGGGCGCAAGCCUACGGCAAGUGCAGCAGAAAAUAUACCGCCUAAGCAGUUUACUGCCGGUAAGGUUGAAAUGGUGCGGUAAGAGCGCACCGCGCGACUGGUAACAGAUCGUGGCAAGGUAAACCCCACCUGAAGCAAGACCAAAUAGGAACUCAUUGGCGUGACCCGCGCUGAGUUCGGGUAGGUUGCUUGAGCCAUACAGCGAUGUAUGGCCUAGAUGAAUGACUGUCCACGACAGAACCCGGCUUAUCGGCCGGCUUGCACA
rnacentral:RNase_P_RNA from 1 species